rnacentral:rRNA from 1 species
GACGAACGCUGGCGGCGUGCUUAACACAUGCAAUUCGAACGGAAAGGCCCUGCUUUUUUGGGGUGCUCGAGUGGCGAACGGGUGAGUAACACGUGAGUGACCUGCCCUUGACUUUGGGAUAACGUCAGGAAACUGGGGCUAAUACCGGAUAGGCGCUCCUGCUGCAUGGUGGGUGUUGGAAAGUUUCGGCGGUUGGGGAUGGACUCGCGGCUUAUCAGCUUGUUGGUGGGGUAGUGGCUUACCAAGGCUUUGACGGGUAGCCGGCCUGAGAGGGUGACCGGCCACAUUGGGACUGAGAUAAGGACCAGACUGCUACGGGAGGCAGAAGUGGGGAAUAUUGCACAAUGGGCGGAAGCAUGAUGCAGCAACGCCGCGUGCGGGAUGACGGCCUUCGGGUUGUAAACAGCUUUCGCCUGUGACGAAGCGUGAGUGACGGUAAUGGGUAAAGAAGCAACGGCUAACUACGUG